CUUGUCGCAGUUCCCAGCGAAAUUUGAAUGAAUGGAUAGUUCACCUGAAACCCACAUUUAUGUGCAAUGUGCAAAUUUGCUGCAUUUCAAACUUUUCGGAAACUGGGUCCUACGCCGCUAGGUCUCGAAUAUUUCUAUGUAGUACUAACAUGCUAACUUUCUUUUACAUUCUGAAUACUGAUGAAAGUCUGAAAAUUUUGAUGUGCCAUGAGCUUGAGCUUGAUUAAUCGCCAACAGUUGCUACACCAGUAUCGCCAAAUCAGCUUCACUCACACAAGGAACCAAUGAGAUAGCUGCUCGGGAUAUUCAGUGUUGGUAGUGUCCUAUUUUUUGGCGAGAAUGGCGCCUCAGGUUGCAGGUCAAUGUAGAGAACGAGGGUAGCAUAGGCAAAACAACAUAGGGGAACAUAGGCAAAUUUUCAUAGUUGUGGCUUUCACAACCAGAGGCGCGCGCAUCGUUUUUCUAUGCGUUUGACGUUUCACAUUAGCGCCUUCUAUUGACGAUAUUGCACAACACAGUGAUUCGUGCAACUUUUCCACCAGGUGAUGGUAGUGUGAACUGGGCGAUGGAUUUCCAUGAAAAUCGUUCAAGGUGUUACGUCUGUUUGUCUGUGGUAUUACCAUAGUCAAUAAAAUAAUUUAUUACAUAUCCGGGGUCCUCAUAUUCUGGGACUACCAAGUGAACAAUGUUGCUUCCCGUAGCUGGCUCGAAAACUUAUGCAUUCUCCAAAGAGUCUGGAAAUUGUGGAAUAUCGGACGGCAUGGUUAUUGAAAAUGCGAGAACUGGCAUAAUGCUAGGAGGCCAGGGAACCGGUUCAGGGUCCACUAGGUGGACAAUGUUCUCUUCAGUAGCUGGUUUGAUAACUGGAAAAUUAUCCAUGAAAUUCAACGAAUUUUGAUGCGCCACAUGGCAGGGUCAUACAAAAUCAGGGAAUUGGUCACAUUUUCGGGGCCUCGGGAACCGGUACUGGGAACCGGUUCCGGGACCACCAAGUGGCUAAUCCUGCCUCUGAUAUCUGA